AUAAAAUAAAAUAAAGAAAAAACAGCAGAAAAUAAAUAAAAUAAUACCAUAGAAAAUUGAAAUGGCAUUUUAUAGCUUUUACAACAAAUUAUAUUUUACAAAUAAAUCCAAAUAUUUCAAUGUUUUUCAGUGACUGGCAAAUGUAUUUCUGUGAAUCGGCGUGACGUCACAACGCGGAUGACAAACUCGAGCUGAAUUAAAUCUUAUUAAAUCUGAUUAAAUAAACCGUGAGCUCUCAAAUAACUUGUGUCGGCUUGAGUCGCUAAAGAAACGCCAGAUAAAGGCGCAUGAUGAUGAGGAAGAGGAUGAUGAAGGUGUGUGCGGUCUGGACAUCAGUGAGUAAACAGCAGUGGCUCCAUCUGUCAGUCAAGAUGUAAAAGAAGAAAAGGAUGCAAAUGAAGCACAGGAGGACGAUGAGCUUGCAGAGUACAGCCUCGACCAAUAUGAUGAAGAGGACAUCGCCACAACGAACCUUGGAGACAGUUUGGCAGGAUUGACAGUGUAAAUUGGGACCAAUGAUGAAGAUCCUUAUGUCACCAUCUAAGACAAAGUGCAAUGUUAACGCACACACAUAUGCACUAGGAGCAGUGACAGAUUUCAAUUAGUGAAUAAAGUGUUCAUAAAGAUGGACUGACGGGCUGUCUGAUAACCUGAUUGUAGCCGGACGGGCAGAGAAAGACUGCUGCAACCUGGAGAUUUACAGUAACCAGCGGCACUCACUCACAUUUGAUAUUGUCACUUUUGCAUUUGUAUUCAUUGUUCUGUGUGUGAGUGUGUUUUCAGUGGAUAAUUCACAGGACGACUCUGCUGCCCGCGUACCCUCUGUGUGUGGAGCGGCUGCGUUUUGACCCCACCCCGAGGAAGGACAAGGAAGAAGAAAUGGGAUCAUUAAUGACAGAGAGAACCCAAGGUGGGGCUCAUUGAUGAAUCUCAUGGGAGUGAUAAAUGAAAGUGGAAUGUGGGAAUGUGUGGAAAGAGUUUCCCUCUGAACUCUGUAGGGAGUCACGCGGCGGUUGGAAACAUGACGUCUGGGAUCUGGAUGUGGUUGAUUGUUUGGAUCCAGUGUUUUCACUUUACUGCAAGAAGACACAAAAGAAGAGAGUAAAGAAGGAGUUUACUAAAACACUUUAUCCAGUUCUGCUGUUAAACUUAUUCAUGAUAUUGUGAGUUACUGCUCAAAUUAUUCUGCUCAGUAUUGAGACAUUUUACACACUCAUCGCUAGAAGUUUUGUUAUGAUGUACUUUGGUGGAAGAAUGUUUUAGAAACCUCUUAAGACAAUAAUAUCUGAUGUGGGAGAUUAUUCCAGAGUUUAUGAUGACAGGUGAUGGUGGUUGUACUUGUGCAGGAAUGUUCUGGCGACUGCGGAUCAAACGGGAAAACCAGACGCAACCCUCAGAAAACACACAGAUAAAGUACAAACAUUAAUCAUUAUAUUUAAGGAACAAUGUACAGUUACCUGGAUAACGGUCAAUUAUACAGUUAAGUGGUCAGUGUACAAAAAUAUUUGACUCUUGAUUGACCAAUUAGAAUCAAGUAUUCCAAGUGUAAUAAUUACGUUUUACCUUUUCAGACCCCAGAAAAUAAAGUUUCUCUUCUGUUUCAGGUUCACUGAUGUUUCACCCAAACGCAUAUCUCCGGAUCAUAUGACGUGUGUGUACAGUCGCUUCAUGUCACUGGCAGAGGGCGACCGAUAGUGGAUUCUGUCGAUACCGAUAACUAAGGUAGUGGAAAAGGCAGAUGACCGAUUAUUGGGCCGAUUUAUUGAAUGUUGUCUUUCCUUUGUGUGACGGGCACAGACAUGAGAGUCUCACAUCAAGAGUCUAAAAUGACUGAAUCACAUGUGCAUUUUAUUGGGCAAGCAAUGAGGAUUUGGUGCAUCAUUUGGAGACUUUUAAUUAUAAACAAACUUGCAAAUGUCUUAUUUUGAAAUGAUGUAGACUUGGCUGCGUUACAAUAUAAGGUAUUUACCAAAUAAAGAUUUUUAUUGCCUAUAAAUUCACCAGAUUAAGGAUUUUGUGUGUUUAUAAACAGUGCAUUCAGAAAGUAUUCGGACCCCUUUAUUUAUUUAUUUUCACAUUGUGUAAUGUUGCAGCCUUAUGGUAAAACUUUCUCUUUUUUUUUUAGCGCAGUAGUAGUGCAAUGUGUUUGAUAUUACUAAUAAUGUGUUUUAUUUGUAAAACAUACUGUAGUACUAAAUAGGGUUUACAAAGUGCAUGUUCAGGAAAUUGAUAUUGACAAUAUGCAUGCAAGAAAUUGACAAUGAAACUGUGGCAGGAAUUGUCAGUAUUGGACAAAAUGCCCAUAAAUAAACUGCACAUGAAUAAUAUAUUUUCAGUAGGUUUUGUAGAAUUGAACUAAAUCACAAAUGCAACAAAUUACCGAAUACAUGCAAAUGCAUAUUUUAAGUGUUAACCUGGGCAAUAAUCAUUACAAAUGAUUACAAUUCAAUUUCAUAAAUCAUAAAAUAACAAUAACAAAAUAUUUUUUGUUAUAAUCAUCUGACUACUGUACAUGUUGCCAACAUUUUUUUUUAUUAAUGUUUACAUUAAUGUUUACAUUUUUUUCUUUUUUACCUGUUUAUCAGAAAUAGCCUAUUUCAUAACCAAAUAUUGAACUGCUUUUAAUGUUAUCAAUGCACAUAAAUACUGUGAAACUCUAAUACCGUGGUAAUUGUUUUGACGGUUAUCAUACCGUUACACCCCUAAUAUAGACUAUGAUGGAUGGUUGAUUCACAGCCAAUGAGACGAACAGCGAUUCAGCGAACCUCAGAUGGUGUUUUAUUACGAGAACUUCUCUGCAGAUUUGCCCUCUCUAAAUUAAACAUCAUGUCUUUUAACUGUACUUCUAUCUUAACUCUCUGUGUAGGAGAUGUAUUAAUAAUAAUGAUAAAUAUAUUCUAUUAAUGAUUUCCCAUUCCUGGUAUUAUGAAAUUGCCGUUAUGGAAGCAAUGAUAAACCACCAAAGGCCAUGUAAUUCAAGAUAAUUGUUUUACGCUGUAUUACAAUCAGCUGAAAAAUUAUUGAGGGUCAGUUCUUAACUAUUCUAAACGGAUGUAAAUAAAGUGCUUUGAGGUUUUCAGAAAUAACUUGAUUUAUAAAUAAUUAAUCUUGAAGUAGUUUCAGUUUCAGUGGCAGUGCUGUUCAAACGGUGUUUUGCGGCCCUCCAGUGGACUACAUCGGUACUGCAGGGGAUCGUCACUAUCUUUUUUUUUUUAAUAAUCGCUCAGAUAUAAUAUUCAAAGCCAUUUGAAAUCAUUAAAAUAUGACAACUAAUAUAGCAGCAGGUUUAGGAAAUAUUAGAAAAUUGUGGCAGGAAAUGAGUGGACCGUUUCAUACCCGGAUGAAUGUAGGUGUUGCACAGAACAGAAAGAUGUAAUGCACUCAUAAGACCGCUAGAGGGCGCUGUUUCACCCACAUGCAAAUAUAUAUUUUUUUGAUAAUACACUUAUCAUUAUAGAAAUAAGCAACUACUGAUCAUGAAAGCAUGUCUAAGAUCAUGAAAUUUUGCAGAUGUUUGUUAUGAGAGCAACAGUUAAAUUCAAAUGUUUGAUUUGUUUAAGGUUAUUUUUGUCAGAUUUUUAAUAACUGAAAUGAGUAGAAUAACAAGUAAUAACUUUAUCAUAUCAAAAUGUGUGUGUGUGUGGGUGUGGGUGUGGGUGUGUGUGUGUGUGUGUGUGUUAUGGUCUCACCAAUUAAUUUUGGUAUGUGUUCUGCAUUGUGGUGGAUUAUUUGUUUGUUUGUUUUUUAUAAAUUAAAGUAAAAAUAGUUCUGUUAUAGUCUGACCAGUUCUGUUUUGUGUUUUGCACAUUUGAUGUUUGAUAGUCUCACCCCUUCAUGUCUGUGUAUGUUUUUUCUGCAU